UGGACAUUGUUUAUUUCAGAAGGAAAAUGUUUGGAGUGGAAUUGUUUGGAAGACAAUCUUGGGACAAUUUUGCUCUUUGGGUCUUUGUGCCAACCAUGCCAGCUAUCGUAGGGUGCUCUGGGAACUUCUUAGAUCUGUUUACUGUAUGUACAGAAAUACGCAUUUUGUUUACAUAAAAUCCCUUGUCAUUUCACCACUAGGUUUGAAACCCAGACAGCACGAAGCAUCUUGCCGACGUCAAAAUCAGAUCAACAGACAGGGACAUCAGCCUUCUCUUGGGAAUAGGCCAGAUAUGCCAGAACAAGAAAUGGUAAGUCUAUCACUACAUAAGAUCCAUAACAAAAUACUCCUAGUUAAAUCUUAAAUGUGACCUGGUGGCAUUAUUGCGUGAAUGCUUAUGUUGAACACUUAAUAAAUAAGAUCCUCAAGUGUGUAGAGUUCGUUAUUUAUUUACAUUUUCCUCAGCAUAACUGUACAGCUGACACCACUGCCUUCUGUAUCAUAACAAAGCCUGUCACUUCCACGUUUCGUUCUUCUUAUGUGACCGAAGUCACUGGCUACUGCACCAGAGAGGGUCUCUGCACUCAUUGCUGGUCCUAUGAUGCCAUCUAUUGGCGAAAACGUGCAACAGCAUAAUUAAACUAAAAGACAACUUCUGACAGGACAACAAAAAGACAGGGAGUGAGAAUAAGGGAAUAACAAAAAGACAAAAAUGGGGGGUCCACUACACUUGCAUACCUGAUUGUGAUGCUGUCACUCAUUUUCUAGUCUAUAUCUUGGACUGAAAAAGGAUGCUUUGCCCCUGCGGUUGUGAAGAGGAUGCUGUGGAGGUGGCAGCAUGAACGUGUCACACAGACAUUGGCUAAACUACUCGGCUUCUACACUUGCCCUCAGAGUUCACAUAUAGUGAAGUGCACAGGUGUCCAGUCAGGUUCAGACUGAUGCUGGUAACAAGAGGAAAACAUGCUAAUUGGUCAGUCCAUGAGCCCACGUCUUCAGGUCAUGGGCCUGAGAAGAAUCUACCGUUACAGGGGUCAGAAGAGAUCCUCAAACUAUGCUGACAUUACUACCCCUGUACUUCAACCCCUCUGCUGCCACUGGGUCCUCAACGAGAAAAUAAACUGAUUCCCCCCCCCCAAUCCAUUCCUUUUUCCACCGUCACAUCACACCAUGCCUAUGCACAUUAACACCACCAAUGAGCCUAGAAAACUAGGACAACAGUGAGGAUGAAUUUAGAAACCGCUUCCACGUAUUGUACUAUUUCUGAAAAAGCAUUGGUAUUGGCCUUCUAUCUCCACGUAGCCAUAUCAAAAAA